rnacentral:lncRNA from 1 species
UAAGGGUGCUUGAACAAUGGGCUCUGAAUCUAAUCUAAUCAAAUCCAGUUCAGGUUCAGCAACUUAUGUCGAUUUUUCCACCUGUCGAACUUCGUCAAGUUCGACCUUAGAGGCAACAGUCCCUUCACCAAGGAACUCCUUUUCCAAAAAGAUUACCUUAAGGCUGACAAACACUUUUUGCUCAUCAGCUAAGUAGAAGUAAUACCCUUUGAUCUCUUUUGGGUACCCUAUAAAAUUACACUUGUCAGACCUAGGUCCAAGCUUGUCCGUAAUUAAACGUUUAACAUAAGUCGGACACCCCCAAACUCUAAGGUGCGAGAGUACUGGCUUACGUCC